GGGGAAUUUUGGACAAUGGGCGAAAGCCUGAUCCAGCAAUGCCGCGUGUGUGAAGAAGGCCUUCGGGUUGUAAAGCACUUUUGUCCGGAAAGAAAUCCUUGGUUCUAAUACAGUCGGGGGAUGACGGUACCGGAAGAAUAAGCACCGGCUAACUACGUGCCAGCAGCCGCGGUAAUACGUAGGGUGCGAGCGUUAAUCGGAAUUACUGGGCGUAAAGCGUGCGCAGGCGGUUUGCUAAGACCGAUGUGAAAUCCCCGGGCUCAACCUGGGAACUGCAUUGGUGACUGGCAGGCUAGAGUAUGGCAGAGGGGGGUAGAAUUCCACGUGUAGCAGUGAAAUGCGUAGAGAUGUGGAGGAAUACCGAUGGCGAAGGCAGCCCCCUGGGCCAAUACUGACGCUCAUGCACGAAAGCGUGGGGAGCAAACA
rnacentral:rRNA from 1 species